rnacentral:tRNA from 1 species
GUCUGUGUAGCUUAAAUCCACUUAAAGCAAGACACUGAAAAUGCCUAGACGGGCUCACAUACCCCGCAGACA